GGGGCUGUAGCUCAGUGAUAGAGUGCUUGCCUAGCAUUCAUGAGGCACUGGGUUCGAGCCUCAGCACCUCA
rnacentral:tRNA from 1 species